UAGCAGCACAGAAAUAUUGGCC
rnacentral:ncRNA from 2 species